rnacentral:rRNA from 1 species
GCGAAAUGCGAUAAGUAAUGUGAAUUGCAGAAUUCAGUGAAUCAUCGAAUCUUUGAACGCACCUUGCGCCCUUUGGUUAUUCCGAAGGGCAUGCCUGUUUGAGUAUCAUGAACACCUCAACUCUCACGGUUUCUCGUGAUGAGCUUGGACUUGGGAGUUUUGUUGGCCUCUGUGGUCAGCUCUCCUCAAAUGGAUUAGCUUGCCGGUGUUCGGUGGCAUCACAAGUGUGAUAACUAUCUACGCUCGUGAUUGUCUGCCGGGUAUCCUCUGAUCACACAGAGGUUCUCCGGGGCUCACAAACGUCUCUCUUCAGCAGAGACAGCUUUUUGAAGUUCGAUCUCAAAUCAGGUAGGACUACCCGCUGAACUUAAGCAUAUCAAUAAGCGGAGGAAAAGAAACU